GCAUAACGCGAAGAACCUUACCAAGGCUUGACAUGGAUUUCUAAGCACGUGAAAGCGUGUGACCCUUCGGGGGACUUCCACAGGUGCUGCAUGGCCGUCGUCAGCUCGUGUCGUGAGAUGUUGGGUUAAGUCCCGCAACGAGCGCAAUCCUUGUGACUAGUUGCCAGCACGUUAUGGUGGGAACUCUAGUCAGACUGCCCAGAUCAACUGGGAGGAAGGUGGGGACGACGUCAGGUCAGUAUGGCCCUUACGCCUAGGGCUGCACACGUACUACAAUGCCCAGCACAAUGAGAACCGAGACCGCGAGGUGGAGGAAAUCUAAAAAACUGGGCCCAGUUCGGAUUGGAGGCUGCAACUCGCCUCCAUGAAGUUGGAAUCGCUAGUAAUGGCGCAUCAUCUACGGCGCCAUGAAUACGUUCCCGGGUCUUGUACACACCG
rnacentral:rRNA from 1 species